rnacentral:lncRNA from 10 species
CCAGGACCUUAAAAAGAGCCCAAGUUGUUGAGCUCCCUGCCAAGUCACCCCCAGGUAUCUCUGCCCACCAGCUUGCAUGAGCCAGAUCCUCAGUGCAGGUUUUUCCAAUCAGUCAUUUGUUCUUCCACCCAACGCUCAAGAUUUGCUUCUUCAAGACAACUCUCUGAUCAGCUGAGACCCAUAGACACCCAGCUUCUACCACACAUAUGAUGGCAUUAUCCUAGGGCAUGGCAGAGCAACGCAAGGGAAAACUCUGGGCCCCCAAGUGAUGUCAUGGAGGAGAACUCUCAACCCAGAACUACUACGUGAGAAACAACGCUCUCUCUUCUUUAAGCCAUAGGUGUGUUGGGAAUCUUUGUUACAGCAGCACGCCUGAUCUUUUGUUUUGUUUUGUUUUGUUUUAGAGAUGGAGUCUUGCUCUUUCGCCAGGCUGGAGUGCAGUGGUGCGAUCUUGGCUCACCAUGUUGGUCAGGCUGGUUUCAAAUCCCUGACCUCAAGUGAUCCUCCCACCUUGGCCUCCCAAAGUGCUGGGAUUACAGGUGUGAGCCACCGCACCCGGCCCAGCCAUGCCUUGUCUUAACUAGCAUAGCCGCCCAACGUCCACUUCUUUUGGCCAUGUUGUCCUGAUUCUGCUGGAGAAUCCCUUUCCCACUGCUCCCAGACCAGUGGUGUAGCUGACCUGCGCUCUCUCCACUCAAUUCAGGGGAGGGAGGGGUUUAGGCCUGGGCUAAGAGAGCUGCACAUUUCCCAGGGCACAGUGAUUAGUUGAGGGUGGGUCCCAGAGCCAAAUCUGCCCAAGAUCUUAGCCUGAAAGAGAAACCCUCCUGCUGAGUGACUGCACUGUGAGGCAGAAGUCCAGAGCUGUGGGUGGCCAUCCAGCCUCCAUUUGCGCCUGCCUGAGAAAGAAGCCACCAUGGGGGAAAUCGAGCUAAAAGACGGAGAGGGAGGUAAGAGAGGAUGACAUCACAUAAGCACCAGAUCUGGCCACCCCUGAAACUGGAACAACCCUAAGCUUUACAGCUACUACAUUCCCUUUUCUGCUGAAGUUGUUUUACACUGGGUUUCUGUCUCUUGCAACCAAGAGCUCUGUUAAAUAAAAACCUGACCCUAAGGAGAACGUUAGCUGGUUCACAAUUCCCUGUGCAAAACAGGCACAGGUCAGCUGCCCCAGCCUGUCGUUUGGAUAUUCCUUUCUAAGAACGCUCACUUUUGUUGUCUACAUGACCCAGAUAACCAAGGAGAAAGCAAAUCAACCGCCUUCCAGCGGCGCCUUCCUUGGCAGCAAGUGCUAAGAGAGAACACAAUGUGAGUACUCUGCCCUCUGGAGUCAGGGUUGAUCCUCAGCACUUGCUGUCCUGGGAGGCUGCACCUGUGACACUUGAGUGCCAGGUUCAACCCCUACUGCUGCUGCUGCUGCCUGAAUGGGGCCAUUUAGACUGUUGAGUGCUACAGCCUCAGCCCAGGAACCCGGAGCUUCACAUGAGGCAGAGCAGGGCCCCAGGGUCCCUGAAACUUGCCAGUUCAAACAGCAGAGGGGUGAGGACUCCCCAGUCAGCCCUGGUCUCAUACCUGCCUCUGCAUGGUCCCAGUCCAGCCUGAGGCCUUUGCUUUCUUUUUUGAAGGGAAGGUGAGGAGAGAGGGGGAAAAUAGAGGUGUUCUGACUAGACUUAGGAUUCCUGGCCUCUGCCUCUGACCGCCAGAGGACAGCCUCUGCAGUUGCCUCAUCUACUCAUGAAAACAGGCCUGUGACCCCAGGGGUGCUCUGAGGAUUCUUCCAGAAAACAUCUGCCCAGCUAGGACUACCUAGCUCACUGCCCAAAAAGGGUUCAUUUCCUUUCCUUCUGAAACAAAAGCGCUUAAUUGGAAGAGAAGCAUUGACUCAAGCUAUAGGAUAUGCCACUUAAAAUGUCCAGAUCUUGGCACAAGGCCUGGCGCACAGUGUGGGAGAGAAGGAGAGAAGAAGGUGGAAGGAAAGGAGGGAGGGGAAAGAGGAAGCAGGGAGGGAGAAAAUAAGACAAGGGCCUCCUCAUCUGGAUGCUUCCCUAGACCAAGAAGUGGCCCAGGUGGUGCCCAGGGGACAGGGAGUGGGCAAUAAAAGACAAUGGGGUGUAGGUGAUAGGGUGUAGAUGAUCAGGGUAUAGGUGAUCAGGAUGUAGGUGAUGGGGUGUAGAUGACUGGGGUAUAGAUGAUUGAAGUGUAGGUGAUGGGGUAUAGAUGAUCGAGGUGUAGGUGAUGGGGUAUAGAUGAUUGAGGUGUAGGUGAUGGGGUGUAGGUGAUGGGGGUCAAGGUGAUCAAGGUGUAGGUGAUGGGGUGUUGGUGAUUGGGGUGUAGGUGAUCAGGGUGUAAGUGAUGGGGUAUAGGUGAUGGGGUAUAGAUGAUCAGGGUGUAGGUGAUUGGGGUAUAGGUGAGCAGGGUGUAAGUGAAGGGGUAUAGGUGGUGGGGUAUAGAUGAUCAGGUGUAGGUGACUGGGGUUUGGGUGAUGGGGUGUAGGUGAUGGGGUAUAGAUGAUUGAGGUAUCGGUGAUGGGGGUCAAGGUGAUCAAGGUGUAGGUGAUGGGGUGUUGGUGAUUGGGGUGUAGGUGAUCAGGGUGUAAGUGAUGAGGUAUAGGUGAUGCAGUGUAGGUGAUCAGGGUAUAGGUGAUGAGGUGUAGGUGAUGGAGUGUAGAUGAUUGAGGUGUAGGUGAUGGGGUAUAGGUGAUUGGGGUGUAGGCAAUGGGGUGUAGGUGAUCGGGGUCAAGGUGAUAGAGGUGUAGGUGAUGGGGUGUUGGUGAUUGGGGUGUAGGUGAUCAGGGUGUAGGUGAUGGGAUGUAGGUGAUCAGGGUCAAGGUGAUUGAGGUGUAGGUGAUGGGAUGUUGGCAACCAGGGUGUAGGUGAUCAGGAUGUAGGUGAUGGGGUGUAGACGAUCAGGGUGUAGGUGAUGGGCUGUUGCUGACCAGGGUGUAGGUGAUCAGGGUGUAGGUGAUCCGAACUUCCUACUCAAUUCAGGCAACAGCUCCCAGCCUGAGGCAAAUACCCCCCGAGGCAGUCAGGGUCUCACCUCCCAUGGCUCUGACGCAGGCCUCCAAGGUGAGGAGAUGGAGGUAGCAGAGGUCACUUCACUCAGCUGUCACACACCCUGAGGGAACUCCUGUCACUGUUAUCCCACCUGCAAGUGAGGAGCCAGCAUUUCUCAUGCUCCAGGGUUGGCCACAGAGCCCAUUCAAGGGAGGGAGAAGAGCCUUCGGCCAGCGCAUCCUAACCGCAGAAAGCCAAGACCUCUGCAGAAAAAGAGACCAGGCCCAUAAAAAGAGAUCCAUGAGUUGAGUUCCCUGCCAUGCCACCCCCAGGCAUCUCUGCCCACCAGCCUGCAUGAGCCAGCCCCUCAGUGCAGGUUUUUCCAAUUGGCCGUUUGUUCUUCCACCCAACACUCAAGAUUUGCUUCUCAGCCUGGACAACAUAGCAAAACCCCAUCUCUACAAAAAAUACAAAAAUUAGCUGGGCAUAGUGGCACACACCUAUAGUCCCAGCUACUCGGGAGGCUGAAGUGGGAAGAUUACCUGAGCCUGGGAGGUCAAGGUUGCAGUGAGCCAUGAUCAUGCCACUGUACUCCAGCCUGGGUGACAGAGUGAGAACUUGUCUCAAAAACAAAAAAAGAGAGGAAGAUCUGCUUCUUCAAACCCACACAACUAAUAUAAAGUAAUCAACCUCCCCACCUCAAUAACCUGAAGUUAAACAUCACACAAUAAGCCCUGAACAGAGAGCUGUAGGUCAAUGUUCCAUUUUGCUUUUAAAAGCUUCACAAGAACAUUUCAUUUAUUAAAAUAGUUUCUGUAAACUCUUUCAGAAUAACAAAAUUCACUUGCCUUGCUUAAACAGCAUUUCAAGUAGAAGUAUUUUUAUUUCAAGGCACCAUAAAAUGAUGAUCUCUCUAAGAAAUACCUCUCCUUC